CGUGAGACACAUAAGCUGUGUAAACAGCAGAUUUGAAAUUCUACCUGCAAAUAAUCCAGGUGGCUCUGGCGGACCAGAAGGCGCAGCCUUCUGAAGAACAGAGUCGCGCUGUUAAUUUAAUAUUCGGAGCCACGACCUCUCGACCUCUCCCCGGGGAGGAGGGGAGGGAUUAGAAAACAUCUGAAAAUAUCCUCACCGCUGCCUCGGACCAGCCCUCCCGUUACUGUGGAUGAGCUCACGACCCUCAUCCUCGGCCUCCAGAGGUCUCCUCAAAGGGUCAAGCGCAGCAGAGGCUCAGGGACCCGGCUGCAAUUCCAUGCUCUGUUUCCAAUGAGGACACACACGAAUGACGAUGACAGAAGGUUACGGAGAGCAAACUGCCCUUCGGAGACAACGAUGGCUGUGGUGGCGGCAACAUGGCAUGAGGAAAGCACACCGACGAGGGGGGAGAAAUGAAAAUCGGUUUGGUUACCUCUCUCUGAAUCCGGGCAGGCAUGAGGGAACAGAGCAGAAACAGCACGUUAGCGUUCACUCGGCAUCCAGGAAAUGCAACAGCCCCGUUAACAGCAACUCUGAGCCCCGACAUCCCAUCUUUGCUUCCCAACUUUGCUGCGCCGAACAGCCUCUGGGGGCUGAUUUUAGCUGCGCUCUGUCACACAGAAGUGUGUAUUUUGAGCCACGUUACGAUGAAGCCAAGAGAUGCCAGCUGAGUUUAGAGGCAACAUAUCAACCGGGGGAGGCUCCCUCUAUGUGCCAGCCACACUGUGUUACCUGGUGCGUGUGAUCCUUCAAACCUCCUUCCUUGUCAAUGAAAAAAGGAUCAGGACACCUGGCUCUGGGUAAUCGUGGGAAUUAAGUUAAAUGAGAUGGUGUGUGUAAAAGAGUACCUGGCACGUAACACGGUGCAAUAAACUGCUUCAUUGUAGUUGUCAUCA